GGUGGCUCAGUGGUAGAGCGCUUGCCUUAUAUGCAAGAGACCCUGGGUUCGAUUCCCCAGCACCA
rnacentral:tRNA from 2 species